AAGUCGUAACAAGGUUUCCGUAGGUGAACCUGCGGAAGGAUCAUUAACAAAUUCAAACACAAAAACCCUGUUGCAAUGUUUUCCUUUUCCUUUUUUUUCUUCACUUCUCUUCUUCACCUCUUUCUUUCUUUUUCAUUCAUCUCUCAGAGAAUAGAAUGAGAUAGAUAGAUAUAUAUAUGAGGGAAGAUGAAGUGUAUGUAGGAGGAAAAAAAGGGAUUGGAUAUCCUUUUUAAAUUAACUUUUGAUAGUCAGUCAAGAUGAAUUAAAUGUUAUAAACAACUUUUAACAAUGGAUCUCUUGGCUCUU
rnacentral:misc_RNA from 1 species